AUUGAACGCUGGCGGCAUGCCUUACACAUGCAAGUCGAACGGUAACGCGGGGCAACCUGGCGACGAGUGGCGAACGGGUGAGUAAUGCAUCGGAACGUGCCCAGUCGUGGGGGAUAACGCAGCGAAAGCUGUGCUAAUACCGCAUACGAUCUAUGGAUGAAAGCGGGGGACCGUAAGGGCUCGCGCGAUUGGAGCGGUCGAUGUCAGAUUAGGUAGUUGGUGGGGUAAAGGCCUACCAAGCCGACGAUCUGUAGCUGGUCUGAGAGGACGACCAGCCACACUGGGACUGAGACACGGCCCAGACUCCUACGGGAGGCAGCAGUGGAGAAUUUUGGACAAUGGGCGCAAGCCUGAUCCAGCAAUGCCGCGUGCAGGAAGAAGGCCUUCGGGUUGUAAACUGCUUUUGUACGGAACGAAACGGUCUGGGUUAAUACCCUGGGCUAAUGACGGUACCGUAAGAAUAAGCACCGGCUAACUACGUGCCAGCCGCCGCAGUAACAC
rnacentral:rRNA from 1 species